UGAAACAACCCUGCAGGAUUUGUUGAAGAUGACAACAUUACAACUAAACCAACAAAUAGAAUGUUUGGGACAGGAAGAAGGAUUAACAGAUGAAAGAAUAGAGCAAUUAAAGAUUGAUUACAAUGAACUGAGAAGAAAUUUAAG